UUUCUUUUUUUCUUUUUUUUGUUUCUUUUUUUUUUUUAACUUCGAUUUUUUAUUGAUUCUUCACCUCUGAAGAAAAAUUGUUGGGCUGAAGAAGUCCAUGAAAGAAAAAAGAGAAAAGGA
rnacentral:ribozyme from 13 species